rnacentral:lncRNA from 1 species
AUGAGAAGGUGGCAUGGCUACAGGAAGCCCCUGGCCUUAGCAGCUUUCCUGAUGACACUCCAAAACCAAGCAACAGCGAGGGAUGAAGAACAGCAUGACGCUGAAGCAUCACUCCCUUGCUCCAUCCUAAAGUUUGGCCAGAAAUCUCAAUCAGGAAGUACAUACUCCAUCCCUGGAGGGACCAAAGAGGCCCUUAUCUGGAGCACACUCAAGAUGCAGUUGCUGCCACAAAAGCCCAGCUGGCUGCUGAUGGCAGGGAUUCCGGUGCCCUAA